rnacentral:lncRNA from 1 species
UGCGGGGAGACGCACCAGUCAGGUCAUUGGACCUUGAGACAAGCGUAUCAUGGCCCUAAAUGAAGGUUAAGGGCAUCAGUCAGCUGAGACUUAACCAGGAUAGGAUGGAAACAAGGUUAAAGGAGUUGAGUGAGUGUUUAGGCAGCUGGACGAGUGUUGGUUUGAGUUCAAUCAGCUCGGUUCAGCUGGUAUUCAGUUCACUAAGAUCUAUUCAGCUCACGGGAGCUGGUAGACUAGCUCACUCAGCUGGGAACAGCUGGAGAUCAGCUCAAUCCGGUGAACGGUGCAUUUUGGUUCGGAUCAGUGUGGACGAGUCUGGGACGGUUACUGGGCGAGCCGAUGGUCCGGGUACGGGACGGUUCGACCAAAUUGGUCUUAGGCUUGGGACAGGGAGUGGACAAGUUCCCAGAGUGUGAGCUGAGGCUCAGUG